UACAGAGGGUGCGAGCGUUAAUCGGAAUUACUGGGCGUAAAGCGCGCGUAGGCGGCCGUGCAAGUCGGAUGUGAAAUCCCGAGGCUCAACCUCGGAACGGCAUUCGAAACUGCUCGGCUCGAGUCCCGGAGAGGAUGGCGGAAUUCCCGGUGUAGGGGUGAAAUCCGUAGAUAUCGGGAGGAACACCAGUGGCGAAGGCGGCCAUCUGGACGGUGACUGACGCUGAGACGCGAAAGCGUGGGGAGCAAACAGG
rnacentral:rRNA from 1 species